rnacentral:rRNA from 1 species
UACGGAGGGUGCAAGCGUUAUCCGGAUUCACUGGGUUUAAGGGUGCGUAGGUGGGCAGGUAAGUCAGUGGUGAAAUCUCCGGGCUUAACUCGGAAACUGCCAUUGAUACUAUCUGUCUUGAAUACCGUGGAGGUCAGCGGAAUAUGUCAUGUAGCGGUGAAAUGCUUAGAUAUGACAUAGAACACCAAUUGCGAAGGCAGCUGGCUACACGAAUAUUGACACUGAUGCACGAAAGCGUGGGGAUCAAACAGG